CUCCAGAAACUUACUUAUUGU
ensembl:piRNA 21ur-15602 ncRNA